UGGGGAAUCUUGCGCAAUGGGCGAAAGCCUGACGCAGCAACGCCGCGUGGGGGAUGAAGGCUCUCGGGUUGUAAACCCCUUUCAGCAGGAACGAAUCAAGACGGUACCUGCAGAAGAAGCCCCGGCUAACUACGUGCCAGCAGCCGCGGUAACACGUAGGGGGCAAGCGUUGUCCGGAUUUAUUGGGCGUAAAGAGCUCGUAGGUGGCUGAGUAAGUCGGGUGUCAAAUCUUCAGGCUCAACCUGGAACACCACUCGAUACUGCUCUAGCUAGAGUCCGGUAGGGGAGCGUGGAAUUCCUAGUGUAGCGGUGAAAUGCGCAGAUAUUAGGAGGAACACCAGCGGCGAAGGCGGCGCUCUGGGCCGGAACUGACACUGAGGAGCGAAAGCGUGGGUAGCAAACA
rnacentral:rRNA from 1 species